GAUGAACGCUGGCGGCGUGCUUAACACAUGCAAGUCGAACGGUGAACGAGGGAGCUUGCUCCCUCCGGAUCAGUGGCGAACGGGUGAGUAACACGUGAGCAAUCUGCCCUGGACUCUGGGAUAAGCGUUGGAAACGACGUCUAAUACCGGAUACGAGACGCGAAGGCAUCUUCAGCGUCUGGAAAGAACUUCGGUCCAGGAUGAGCUCGCGGCCUAUCAGGUAGUUGGUGAGGUAACGGCUCACCAAGCCUACGACGGGUCGCCGGCCUGAGAGUGUGACCAGCCACGCUGGGACUGAGACACGGCCCAGACUCCUACGGGAGGCAGCCGUGGGUAAUAUUGCACAAUGGGCGUAAGCCUGAUGCAGCACCGCCGCGUGAGGGCCGACCGCCUUCGAGUUGUAAACCUCUUUUAGCAGGGAAGAAGCGAAAGUGACGGUACCUGCAGAAAAAGCACCGGCUAACUACGUUCCAGCCGCCGCGGUAAAAC
rnacentral:rRNA from 1 species